CUCACACAGAGCAUGGAAGUAGGAGGAGCGGCUGCUGGUGUCUGGUCUUCUGGGGCUGUAGUGGAUCCUGCUUUCUAACGUGGAGUCUGUGCCAGUUCUGGGUAAUCGGUUUCAGAAACACACAGCAGACUUGACUCAUGCUUCCUGUCUCCUCCAUUCACAAUACCGCUUAUCUCUCAAUGGCUUCACAGAGGCAAACAUGGUACUCGUGUCUCCCCACUCCUGACCAUCCUGCCACAUCCUGUUCUUGAGGAAAUGAUUAAAUUGGUUGAGUAGCUGAAA
rnacentral:lncRNA from 1 species